rnacentral:rRNA from 1 species
UACGUAUGGAACAAGCGUUAUCCGGAUUUACUGGGUGUAAAGGGAGCGCAGGCGGUCUGGCAAGUCUGAUGUGAAAGGCCGGGGCUCAACCCCGGGACUGCAUUGGAAACUGUCAGACUGGAGUGUCGGAGAGGUAAGCGGAAUUCCUAGUGUAGCGGUGAAAUGCGUAGAUAUUAGGAGGAACACCAGUGGCGAAGGCGGCUUACUGGACGAUGACUGACGCUGAGGCUCGAAAGCGUGGGGAGCAAACAGG